rnacentral:rRNA from 1 species
UCCUUCGGGAGGCAGCAGUGGGGAAUUUUUCGCAAUGGGGGAAACCCUGACGCAGGGACGCCGCGUGAGCGAGGAAGGCCUUCGGGUGGUAAAGCUCUGUCUCCGGGGAAGAAGGUAUGACGGUACCCGGGGAGGAAGCCCCGGCUAACUACGUGCCAGCAGCCGCGGUAAUACGUAGGGGGCGAGCGUUGUCCGGAGUUACUGGGCGUAAAGGGUGCGUAGGCGGCCCAUUAAGUCAGGUGUGAAAAACCCUGGCUCAACCGGGGUAUUGCACUUGAAACUGGUGGGCUUGAGUGCAGGAGAGGGAAGUGGAAUUCCUGGUGUAGCGGUGAAAUGCGUAGAUAUCAGGAGGAACACCAGUGGCGAAGGCGGCUUCCUGGCCUGUAACUGACGCUGAGGCACGAAAGCGUGGGGAGCAAACAGGAUUAGAUACCCUGGUAGUCCACGCUGUAAACGAUGGAUACUAGGUGUAGGGGGCAAUUGAGCUUUCUGUGCCGAAGUAACGCAAUAACAUUCCGCCU